rnacentral:rRNA from 1 species
GGUUGUGUUUUUAAUUGACGAUUAUGCUCCAAAUUCACUUGAUUGUGAUGUUGUCCAGAGAGGGUGUUAGGCCCGUUGGAGUGUAUGARRCUUUUAUUGAUGCUUCCUAUGAGUCGGAUUGUUUGAGAAUGCAGUCCAAAUUGGGUGGUAAACUCCAUCUAAGGCUAAAUACUUGUGUGAGUCCGAUAGCAAACAAGUACCGUGAGGGAAAGUUGAAAAGAACUUUGAAGAGAGAGUUAAAUAGUACGUGAAAUCGCUUAGAGGUAAACGAGUGAAGCCGAAGAUGUUKUAUGGAAUUCAGUURACUGUGUGUCUUCUUGAAUUUGGCGAAAUCCAACUAGGAAUUGCUAUUUUUGAGUUUUAAUAUACAUGCGGUUGAUGCACUUUCUGUAUAACAGUMCUGCGACCGAUAGCGUCAUUUKUCUGUCGUAAUUUUGAAGGUGAUCAUUUUYUCGGAAAUGGUUUYAUAGCUGGUUACAUGGUUAAAUGAUUUAUUGGUGAUUGCGAUUAWCGGUUAUUGACUGGUUUAAUGUUGAUGGUUCUUUGAUAGACUAAAAAUAGGCUGUUUUUGAACUAUUGAUGUUUUUCAUGGUUGAUUUGUUAAUUUAAAGUCUGCAGUGUAUGUAGGUUACUUACUCGUCCCGUCUUGARACACGGACCAAGGAGUUUUAUAUGAUCGCGAGUCAAAGGGCUUUACGAAACCCCACGGCGAAAUUAAUGUAAAGGUUUACUUCGGUAAGCUGUGAUGUGACCUCGUGGAAACACAGAGUGCAACAUCGACCCGUCUAAAGAUGUUCGCAUCUGGGCGGAGUUUGAGCGAUCAUGUAGAGACCCGAAAGAUGGUGAACUAUGCUUGUGCAGGUUGAAGCCAGGGGAAACUCUGGUGGAGGACCGCCGCGGUUCUGACGUGCAAAUCGAUCGUCGGACAUGAGUAUAGGGGCGAAAGACUAAUCGAACCAUCUAGUAGCUGGUUCCCUCCGAAGUUUCCCUCAGGAUAGCUGACAUUUGUUGUUGUAGUUUUACCUGGUAAAGCGAAUGAUUAGAAGUAUUGGGGACGAAAUGUUCUCAACUUAUUCUCAAACUUUAAAUGGGUUCGAAGUGCGUCUUUCUUCAUUGAAGAUGUGCAUCGAAUACAAAUGUCUAGUGGGCCA